UAGGGCGGGGCGGUGCUGGAGGAGCUCGCGUCCAUAGGGGCAGAGCCGGGCUCUCGGAGUGCGGUAACCCUGAGGAUCCGGUCAGCUUGGGAGAACAGAGGUCGUCUGCGGGUGUCCUGCGGGGUGUGUAGAGGGCGUGGAGUUUACAAAUCGCCAGAUCCUGAACUCUGCUUCAACAAGUCUUCCGGAGGCGUGUGAAACUCUCCUCCAACCCAGGGUUGAGGUUGCCGGCUGUGGAGGAGCCAGAUGAGAUGCGGAAGACCAAGUGAAAUAAGAGAACCGUGUACAUCCGGAAUCCAACUACUAAUUACCUUCUCUGUCACCAUCAUCUCUUGCGGUGGUCUCCUAACGACGGUUGCCCAAUUUAGCAAAUAAAAAUACAGGAUACCCAUUGAAA